rnacentral:rRNA from 1 species
AAUUACCCAAUUCUAACAGCAUAAGAGAGGUAGUGACAAGAAAUAACAAUACAAGGCAGUUAAAAUGCUUUGUAAUUGGAAUGAUAGAAAUUUAAACACUUUUUAAAGUAUCAAUUGGAGGGCAAGUCUGGUGCCAGCAGCCGCGGUAAUUCCAGCUCCAAUAGCGUAUAUUAAAAUUGUUGCAGUUAAAAAGCUCGUAGUUGAAUUUCUGCUAAAAAUAACCGGUCUGCUUUUAAUAAAGGUGGUAUCUUGGUGUGUUUUUAGCAAUAAUGUCCUUUGAAAUGUUUUUUACUUUAUUGUAAUAAAUUAUAUUCAGGAUUUUUACUUUGAGAAAAUUAGAGUGUUUCUAGCAGGCUAACGCUUUGAAUACUGCAGCAUGGAAUAAUAAAAUAGGAUUUUGGUUCUACAUUAUUGGUUUUAAGAGCUAAAUUAAUGAUUGAUAGGGACAGUUGGGGGCAUUUGUAUUUAACUGUCAGAGGUGAAAUUCUUAGAUUUGUUAAAGACAAACUACUGCGAAAGCAUUUGCCAAAGAUGUUUUCAUUAAUCAAGAACGAAAGUUAGGGGAUCGAAGACGAUCAGAUACCGUCGUAGUCUUAACUAUAAACUAUGCCGACUAGAGAUUGGAGGUCGUCUUUAUAAACGACUCCUCAGCACCUUACGAGAAAUCAAA